GGCGUGCUUAMACAUGCAAGUCGAACGAUKUWWCWCACUUCGSCUGGGGAUUAGUGGCGAACGGGUGAGUAACACGUGGGCAAUCUGCCCUGCACUCUGGGACAAGCCCUGGAAACGGGGUCUAAUACCGGAUAUGACCCUCRCAGGCAUCUGUGAGGGUGUAAAGCUCCGGCGGUGCAGGAUGAGCCCGCGGCCUAUCAGCUUGUUGGUGAGGUAACGGCUCACCAWGGCGACGACGGGUAGCCGGCCUGAGAGGGCGACCGGCCACACUGGGACUGAGACACGGCCCAGACUCCUACGGGAGGCAGCAGUGGGGAAUAUUGCACAYUGSGCGAAAGCCCUGAUGCASCGACGCCCGCGYGMGGGAUGACGGCCUUCGGGUUGUAAACCUCUUUCAGCAGGGAAGAAGCGAAAGUGACGGUWCCUG
rnacentral:rRNA from 1 species